rnacentral:rRNA from 1 species
AACGAACGCUGGCGGCAGGCUUAACACAUGCAAGUCGAACGCCCCGCAAGGGGAGUGGCAGACGGGUGAGUAACGCGUGGGAAUCUACCUAGUUCUACGGAACAACAGUUGGAAACGACUGCUAAUACCGUAUACGCCCUACGGGGGAAAGAUUUAUCGGAAUUAGAUGAGCCCGCGUAAGAUUAGCUAGUUGGUGGGGUAAUGGCCUACCAAGGCGACGAUCUUUAGCUGGUCUGAGAGGAUGAUCAGCCACACUGGGAAUGAGACACGGCCCAGACUCUUACGGGAGGCAGCAGUGAGGAAUAUUGGAAAAUGCGCUCAAGCCUGAUCCAGCCAUGCCGCGUGAGUGAUGAAGGCCAUAGAGUUGUAAAGCACUUUCACCGAUGAAGAUAAUGACGGUAGUCGGAGAAGAAGCUCCGGCUAACUUCGUGCCAGCCGCCGCGGUAAAAC